rnacentral:rRNA from 1 species
AACAGGAUUAGAUACCCUGGUAGUCCACGCCGUAAACGAUGUCGACUUGGAGGUUGUGCCCUUGAGGCGUGGCUUCCGGAGCUAACGCGUUAAGUCGACCGCCUGGGGAGUACGGCCGCAAGGUUAAAACUCAAAUGAAUUGACGGGGGCCCGCACAAGCGGUGGAGCAUGUGGUUUAAUUCGAUGCAACGCGAAGAACCUUACCUGGCCUUGACAUCCAGAGAACUUAGCAGAGAUGCUUUGGUGCCUUCGGGAACUCUGAGACAGGUGCUGCAUGGCUGUCGUCAGCUCGUGUUGUGAAAUGUUGGGUUAAGUCCCGCAACGAGCGCAACCCUUAUCCUUUGUUGCCAGCGAUUCGGUCGGGAACUCAAAGGAGACUGCCGGUGAUAAACCGGAGGAAGGUGGGGAUGACGUCAAGUCAUCAUGGCCCUUACGGCCAGGGCUACACACGUGCUACAAUGGCGCAUACAAAGAGAAGCGACCUCGCGAGAGCAAGCGGACCUCAUAAAGUGCGUCGUAGUCCGGAUUGGAGUCUGCAACUCGACUCCAUGAAGUCGGAAUCGCUAGUAAUCGUAGAUCAGAAUGCUACGGUGAAUACGUUCCCGGGCCUUGUACACACCGCCCGUCACACCAUGGGAGUGGGUUGCAAAAGAAGUAGGUAGCUUAACCUUCGGGAGGGCGCUUACCACUUUGUGAUUCAUGACUGGGGUGAAGUCGUAACAAGGUAACC